rnacentral:rRNA from 1 species
UACAGAGACCUCAAGCGUUAUCCGGAAUUAUUGGGCGUAAAGCGUGCCGACAGGUGGUUUUGUUAGCCAGUGGUGAAAUCUCCGAGCUCAACUCGGAAUCUGUCCAUUGGAACUGCAAACUAGAGGAGCAAAGAGGAAGUUAGGACGAACGGUGUAGUAGUGAAAUGCGUUGAUAUCGUUCGGAAUACCAAUAGCGAAGGCAGACUUCUGGGUGCUACCUGACACUGCUAGGACGAAAGCGUGGGGAGCGAAGGGG